rnacentral:rRNA from 1 species
GACGAACGCUGGCGGCGUGCCUAAUACAUGCAAGUUGAGCGCUGAAGGUUGGUCCUUGUACCAACUGGAUGAGCAGCGAACGGGUGAGUAACGCGUGGGGAAUCUGCCUUUGAGCGGGGGACAACAUUUGGAAACGAAUGCUAAUACCGCAUAAAAACUUUAAACACAAGUUUUAAGUUUGAAAGAUGCAAUUGCAUCACUCAAAGAUGAUCCCGCGUUGUAUUAGCUAGUUGGUGAGGUAAAGGCUCACCAAGGCGAUGAUACAUAGCCGACCUGAGAGGGUGAUCGGCCACAUUGGGAAUGAGACACGGCCCAAACUCCUACGGGAGGCAGCAGGAGGGAAUCUUCGGCAAUGGACGAAAGUCUGACCGAGCAACGCCGCGUGAGUGAAGAAGGGUUUCGGAUCGUAAAACUCUGUUGGUAGAGAAGAACGUUGGUGAGAGUGGAAAGCGCAUCAAGUGACGGUAACUACCCAGAAAGGGACGGCUAACUACGUG